CUUACUUUCAAGCUUAUGUUUUUAUGUAAACACUGAAUGACUCACAUGGCUUUUACUUCGGGGAAUUGAUAUGGACUGAGAAAAUUGCAGAAAGAAAUCUUCCAUCUGCCUGUGUUAAUUCAGACCCACCAAGAGCCAGGCUGGCCCCAGCAAGUCCCCUCACCACUGACUCCUUCUGGAGCAUUUCUAUCAUCUAAAGUUGAUGGUGUCUUUUUAAAUGCAGUCCCAGCCCUCAUACAGGACUGUAAAAUAUAUCCUGAAAUGCACUGUGGUUGGACAACAGAGAAAGAGAUCCCCAGCCCAGGAUGUCAGUAUCGAGUGCACCCUCAGCAAAUUUGCAGAUGACAUCAAGCUGACUGCAGAAAAUUUGUACUCGUCAUAAGCUUCAAUUAAGGUAAAUGAACGCUAUAAAUCUGGAAUCCCCGAAUGCAUAAUCAGCAAACAAAGAGCUGCCAUGUGGAAAGCACACUGUUGGCCAAGCAGCAGAAGCUGAUUGAACUGGCUCUCACACCACUGGUGAACCUGGUCCACAGCUCAUUUUACCCUUUCUUUCCAAGCCAGUACCAGGAUCUAAGGCACAUAAUGUGUCCUACAGAACUUCUGCAGUAGACUUGCUGUGUCAUUUCUCAGGCAUGAAGUCGGCAGAAGGCAGUUUGUCUGUCUCUUUCAUGGCUCACAGGGUGCCCAGCUGAAUCACCAUAAAGUGGGAACCUCCAGCGCCGUGAGCUUUCCCUGUUCUAUGAACUGAGGCAAGCAAGCAGCCCAGCCUCACUCUCCCAUGGGCACUGGCACAUCACAGGGUCCCUCUGGAGGCUGACCCUUGGGCCCUGCUCACUGUCACGUGCACCAGACAGGGCAGGUAAAUAUGUCAUGUGGUGCUCUUUGGACAAGGGCUGUUUGCCAAACUUUAGAGGAGAUUGAUGCACUUGUUUCACAACUGAAGGGGGGAAAGUGAAAACAUUUGGGAGCUGGCCCUGUCAGAGUACACACAUCUCUCUAUCUAAAUGGAAUGUCUAAAUUGCUAAGUCUUCAGAAGUGUUUUCAUCAGUAACAUAGCAUUACACAGAAACCUCUUACACAGAGCAAAAGAUAAAAAAACUCACCCCAACAAGCAGUCAGGGAUUAAGAUCACUUUGAGAUUUAUGAAUUUGAAAUAAUCUUCUCAAAUUCAAAAUGGCUGCCCCAAGGGAGGGAGAAGGUAGCCUGGACCAUCUCACUCAUCUAUGACAUGAACCAGGCAGAGCAGAAGCUAAACCAGACCUCUCUGAGCAGAUGUGUAUGGAACCUUCCUGCCAGCACUCCUUGCCUGUGUGGAUUCUCUGAUGUCCAGAAAAAAAGGAGUUAAUCAUCCAUCACCUCCCUUCAUGGUAAUUCUCAUCUAAAGGGAAGAAUGAAACCACUGGAUUCACACAUUAUGGACACAGGAGAGACACACACAUGCCUGUAAAUUUUCUAAGAUUAUGAAUUAAACUUAGGAAAAAAGAGUUAUUUUUCUGCUAGAGUAGAAGAUGUUACAACGGCUAUUCCUAAAAUUAGAAGUGCUUACUGAAAAACCUAGCAGCGUGUAUUCCAUUAGCUAAGAGGAAUCUUUGCUGUGUAUCUUUGCCCAUACAAACAGCAGAGAAUUUGCCUGCUCCUCUCCCUGAUGAGCACAAACACAUGCACAGCUCCCCACUUCAUGAUGUCACUGAUAUCAAAGAAAAAAUCUCCCUGCACUUGAGCAGGGCAGUCAGGUGCACAGUGAGCUCCUGCCCAGCCAUGCAAUGCAAGAGAAGAAGGUCAUCAGCGUGAUGAACAAAUGUAGGUAAAUGCACACAAUUCCCUUGUCUAAACCCUCCAUGCAUUUCAUGCAGCAUGGAUGCAGGAUAGCCAUCUCCUGGAGAGCACCAUGUGUUAGUCCAUGGCAGGAUCACUAUCCAAGGCAUCACACUGUUCUGCUGUGCUAACACUGCACUGAAAAGCUGGACAUGCAGCACCAUCCUUUAGGUCUUCCACUCUUUUCACCAGACACCUGCUUUUGUGCCAUUAACCCAAUAAAAUUUGUCUCAGCAAACACUAGGGACAUUUCCCCAGCAACAUGGCUGGGACAAGAAAUCCACUGGGCCAUAAGGUGCCCAGAUGAAAACUCCUUUCAUCAGGAACUUUGGCCACAAUUUUGCAUGGGUCUGAAAUUCACCAUUCCCAGGGGAUGGCCGCAGUGUGCUAUGCAGGGAGAGGGAUGUAGAUGGACCAAAACAUCCUGGGGCGCUGCUCCUCCUGCCAGCUGGGCACUACUGGAGCCAUCCUUGGGUCUGGGAAAGUCUAAUGCUCUGUCAGGUAAGUGUCCUUGAAGGCCUGAAACUCUCUUUUGUGAAGGCUGCAUGCAUGGCUGAGAUCAGCCUUGAGGUAUGCUGGGAGAGUUAGGAAUUCAUUCCCUCACUGCAAGCUCGGUGAGGGGAUUUUCUCCAUAAUAUCUGAGUGCUGCUUUACAAUAAGAAACUAAUUAUUUUAAAUGAAGUAAGGCUCAGUGCAACUAGAGAAUUAAAUGUAAAAUAUAAUCAUGCCUUGUAUCGACAGGACAGCAAGUAAUUGGCUACUUUCCUGCAAUUUUCACCUCAGCUCACCUUGGUAUGCAGUCACUUCACUGCUCUGCCUCAAACUUUGUUUCUGUGCCAAGUUAAUAAGGGUGCAAUCUUUUCCAUUAAUUUUAAGAGGCUUUGGAGCAAGCCCUGCACAUGUGGGAAUUACAGCUGCAGUGUGAUGGUGCUGCCUGCUGUGUCUGAAGCUUUCAUUCACAGAGCUCAUCACACACCAGUCCAUAGGCAGGCAGCCAGAAAUGCACUUGUUAGCUCCUUGUAGAUACACCUGUGAGGUGAUUACAGCAGCACAAAUGGAUUUUUGUGAACUGGUAGUCACUGAAAAAGCCAGUGCUUUUCAUAGAUGCAGGCCACUGGGUCUGACCCAGAAAAGCAAACUGAGGUCAGAUCAAACCAUUCAACUCUGUCAGCUCAUGAGAGUGUUUCAGCAGUGCUGUGUGUGGUACCAUUCAGCAAAACUAAGAAAUUAGUGUAUUUCUAAUAGUUAAAAGAAACUGAUACUUCCUUUUCUAUUCAUACUCCAGGGUACUUUGGGCUUCUCCAGGUUUACUACCUCUGUCUGCCUGGAAAAUUUUGAACCUGCCUUGGCUGUUUCCUUGAGCAAUGUGGCAACAGCCAUCUGGGGAAUACUUUCAGUUACUGAUUCUGGUGUCUAUUUAUGGAGUAAUUUACUGAAUAUAUAAUAUUUUAUUAACCACUGAAGCAGACCCUGGUCCCCAGCUGCCAGUUUACAGAUCCUAUGGAUUUUCUGUCCUCAUCUCUCAGUUAAUGUUUAAAUAUUGAAUAGUUAUUCUUUAUUGAUAAAUAUUUAAGUGAGAGAGGUAUACUUCUGAGGGCUCUUACAAGAGAGAUGGGUGAGGAGAAUUAAAAAGAGAGAAAUUUAUUUGAAGCCAAAUGUAAAUCACAGUGAGGAUACGACCUGAGUCUCUUAUCCCUUGGAUGAACAGCCACAGAACUCUAGAAUUAAGGAAGAAGAUUAUAGCAGUGUAGGCAGUCAACACCUUUGAGGGUAUUUGUUGGUUUAUUUCUUAGGAAACGUCUCUGGGAUCCACCCAAGGCAAUCAGACACAAAUUCCUAAAAGGACAGAGACCCCAUCUGUAAAUGGGAACAUCCUGCCACGCCUUACUGCAGCUGUUCCCUGACAAGAGGAAACAGCCUCAAGUUGUUCCAGAGCAGUUUUAGAUUGGAUAUUAGGAUUGUCAAGCAUUGGCACAAGCUGCCCAGGGAAGUGGUGGGGUCACCAUCCCUGGACAUAUUUAAAAGAUGUGCAGAUGUGAAGGACAGGGUUUAGAAGUGGGCUUGGCAGUGCUGAGUUAAUGGACUGAACAAUCUUGAAGAUCUUUUAUACCCUAAAUGAUUUUAUGAUGCUAUGGCAACACCAGUGGCUUUUCUGUCCUCUUCCCAGGCAUAAAAAUAGGAGGAGCUCCAUUUCCUUUUUCCUCUAGCUGAUUGUGGAGCUUUCUUGGCCUUUUCUUGCCACUAUAAGCAUUAGCUUUUCCAGUGUGCUGGGAUUUGUAUUGAUUUGGGUCUCAGUUUCAAAACACAGUAGCCCUGACUACAAGUGUGUUACCACAUCUGUGUUUGUAAACAUGCUGAAAGGUGCAUAGGAUCAUGUCUCUGGAGGCAGCUGAGCAUCUCAUGAUCCUGUGGAACACAACAAGAAGAGAAAAGAGCAAAAUGUCUCAUAUAUGCCUCAUAAUUCAUGUAGAGGUCUAAGAGGGAUACAGAAGAAAAAUGGUUCUAAUGAGCAGAUCUGGUCAGAACCAGUAAGACUGCAGUUAAAUUGACUUCCUAUGGUAUAUUUGUUUUGGUACUUCAGCACAAAUAUACUUUUCCUUUGAACUGUGCCUCAGCCAUGUACUUGGAGCCACCCUCACUGGCCCUCUGCCUCUUCAGAGUCUGGAAAGUGGGACAGCUUCAGCUGAGAAGAGCACAACCCUGCCCAAAAGGUAGUCAAGAUGGUUGCAGCACUGCAGGAGAAGAUGCUUUCAGCUCAGAGAAGGCAGGGAAUAGAAGAUAUCUGCUCAUUCUUUGGCCUUUAAAAUCAGCCCAAGGCCCCUUGCCAACUUGUCACCACCAAGAUGUGGUGGAAAUGGAAUUUCUUGAUCCCAGCUUGGUUUUAUCUGACUUGUUUUACACACAAAACAUGGCCAGUUCUAGAGCUACCCAGGGACAGAGAGCCAGCUGCUAAGUGGGAUUUUACAUCUUAAACUUAUUCAUGGGAGCAGAUUAGUCGAUUAGUCAUAUUUUUUUCAAGUGCUGGUCUAUAGUAUCUCAGAGUCCCAACUGUAAAAAAAACCACAAUGGUUUCCAGCUUUUGGAACUCUUCAGGAAAGAAUGAAUUUCUUGAUAGGAGUGUGAAGUCAGAAGUGAAAGCUGUGCUUUGGUGUAUGAACACACAUCCCAGUGAGUCCCUGGGACAGAGGUGUUAAUAGAUGCCAUGGAUACAAUAAAGCAGAGGACUUGUUUCCUGGUGGAGUGAUAUUUCUUUCUGUUUAUUCAUAUUACACUUAUUAUAACACUAUCAGCAUGAAGAGGGUUAUAUUAAUGAGGGCAGCAGAGAUAAGAUCAUGUGCCUGCACGGGCUGCUGGUACCUUGCACACAGCUUGAUCCUAUUCAAAGGCUUAAACAUACUUAAAUCCUAUCCAAAUCCUUUAUCACUUUAAGCCUCUUAUGGCUUUAAUGCUUCAAAAAUACACCCUGGAUCAGUCAGCCUGACAAACUGGAAAGAGAGGAAAGGCUAGGGCUUUUGAUGGCACCCGGGGCUUGUGCCUUGCACACUUAGCUCAGGGUCCUCAGAAAAUCCUCAGUGGCCAGGCAGGAUCACCCUGGGACCAGGGGCAGGAGGAAGUUCCAUGAUCCCUGUCUCUGAGGAGUGGGAUGGUGCUGGGCAUCAUGGGCAUGGGAACAUGUUCCUUUCUGGGAGCAAUGAGAUGUAAGUGGGUUCAUGGUGCCCACUUUCAUGAAAGCCUCUGCAUGGCAGUGAGCUGUUUGAAAAGGUCAGUGUUCCUUUCAUGCUGCCACCCCUUGUCUUGGAACAGGACAGUGCCAGAGAUCCAUGUCACCCGUGUUUACUGUAGUAAACCCUACAGUAGCAACUGCAGGGGUGUAGGGUUUAUUUUCCAGCAUGUGUGCUCACCCUGCUUGGCAUGGCAG